rnacentral:lncRNA from 1 species
CCUGCUUGUGCUUGAAAUUUAGCAUGUACUCCCAAAUACCCCCAAAGGACACUGUUGAUAUAAGACCCAUUUUAUUGAAAGAGAAUGGUAUCCCUCAUUCAAAGAUGCAACUCAGUUGUUUCUUUUCUCUAGAAGCUUUUCUGGAUUUUCUGACCCCCUGUUUAAACGGAACUUGUCUUUUUUAAUUCCCCUAAACUCAUUGCACAGAAAGAAUCCCAAAGUCACACUAUUGGGAAGUGGUGCAGGCCAUCUGGUUCAACCAUGUUUCCAGUUUCUGUAACUGCAAAGGAAUUUUCCCCGAGCACUCAAGUGGUACACAUGCCUCCUCCACAAUAAGUCAGAUCAUCCUAGCAUGAGGGAAUUAUCCUAGCUAAUGAUAGCUAAUACAUACAGAUUGUUUACUAUGCCCAGAUGUUUCAUAGACAAUUAUUAAAAGGCCGAAUAGGGUACAGAUCAAUAGCGUGAAUUCCAGAGUUGGAGACCUGGGGUUCAGAUCCUGCUAUUUAAUUUAAUGUAACCUUGGCUGAACUGCUUAACCUUUCUAAGCCACAAUUCCUUCCUUAACAAAAUGGGGAUAAUUGUAGCUAUUAUAAAUUGUUGUCAGGGUUAAAUUAGAUAAUGGAAGCUGGAGCACUUAGAAUAUUUGACAUGUAGUAAGGAAAAAAUGUUAAUUAUUUUUACCAUCCUUUGCUUAUAUCCAAAUGCUUAAGUGUGAUUUUCAACACUCUAUUAUAUUCAAGGAUCAUAGAUGCUGAAAUUGAUACACAGUAGACCUGGUAGUUGAAGACCAAUGAGAUUAUAAUUAUGAUAACUGCCUGGUACAUUUUUUUUUCUUCUCCAGACAAUGGAUUUUAAGUCUGCUCAAGAAGCUGAUUGACAGUGCUGCCUUAGAUUGGUAUGCUCCGUUUUUGAAGUAGAGGAUGAUUCAACCACAUUUCUCCCAGUUUUGAGCAUUUGGAAUCUAGGAUUGAAUAUUUACUAUGGGAAAUGUGGGGCACAUAACUAGAGAGUCCAUAAUAAUACCAUACGCACUCUUGUAAAGGGAAAAGACAAAACUUUAUUUCAGGAUUGCUUAAGGGUAAAUACAUUGUUUUUCCUUAUUAUGUAUAUAUCCUUUUUUUGGUCUCCGCUCUGUCUGUGUCUCUGUCUCUCUGUCUCCUUCUGUCUCUCUCUUUCACACACACACACACACACACACACACACGCACACACACACACACACACACACACUUUCCAGAAGAACAGUUCCAACGAAAGGAGAAAUUCUCAAAAUCUUUGAGUUGUUUUUGUUAGCACUAUUCCUAAUAAUAAUUGUUGUUGUUAUUAGUCAACAUUGAGCAUCACCACUUUUUGUGAUAACCCUUAGUGAACUCUUAGCAAUUGCACAGAACUUCCCAGUUCUGCAGGCUCCAUGCUAAAUCUCCAAUGCCAUUUCCUGUAGUAGAGCGCCCCCUAGCACUUCCACACACCUCUGAGUUAAUUGUGCUCUGAGACCUCCAGGAACAGCUACUAAAUUAAUUAUCAGAGGCAGUUUUCACCAUUUAGAGACUUAGAUUCUCUAAGAGCUUAAGUACCUGGCAUUAACAUGCUGUUAUUUGUUCAUCUGACCUCAUAGCAGCUGGAAUAGGGAAGAACAGUUUUGGGGCAGCCUAAUCUGCCAGAAGCAAAGCAGGUGGUUUUCUCUAAAGUCACAAUUGAAUUUAAAAGUCCCAUUAGUUUUGUCAAGUCAACUGAAUUCUCUUAAUCUGCUAAUGAUUUCCCUUUGGAAUUAUUGCAGUAAAAGAGUGGGCAGACUUCUAUUAGGUAAUGUUUAAAGCUUGUGUGUGUGAGAGAGAGAGAGAGAGACGGAGAGAGAAACAGAGAUAUAGAAAGAACAAACAGUAGAGACUGACUUUAGGUUUAUGAAGUUCACUUCUUAGUUUAUGCCUGAAAUGAAGAGAUUUUGGCUGCUGUCUUAUUUGUAUUUAAUUUGGGUGGCCCACCUUGGCAUUAGAUCAAAGCUUUGGGCCCUCUUUUAGAGCAUUUGCAUGUCUGGGAAGAAGGUGGUAGGCUCAUGCAGCAGAACAUAAGAGCGUAUUGCUUGAACGAAGGCAGGGAGGGCGUGGGGGAGGUGUGAGAUAUUUUAAAAAUAAGACAUGCUGCUAAAUUCCCUGCCAACCUCCGUUCAUGCUGAGUGGAGUGUAAGUAACAAGUAUCAGAUAGUUCCUCCAGAUGUCAGCUAUUUAAAGAGGCACGUGCUAGAAGUUCUGUGGAUUUAUGCCUGGUAGCAGUAAGGUUAUGGUGGUGGUAGUGAGUGGCAUGGCAUUGGAAGUGAAUGUCUAUCAUGAAGAAACUUUAUCAACAACAAAUGCAUGUUGGAAUGUAUUUGUGCAUUUGUGAAGUAAGAAAAAUUAGGAGAAGAAAUGACCUAAUAACUCUGGAAGGCCAUCAUAUCAAACUUAAUGCAAGUAACAGAUGCAAGUAACAUCUGAUUUUUAAAUGUAUGAAGCAAGAGGAACAUCCAGAACCCUUACUCCCUGUAGAAUUAUCAUAUUAUCCUUGAUAAAUUUACUAAAAAGCCAAGAAAUUAUGCAAUGAGGUGAAUGAUUCUUCACAUUCAAUUUUAAGGUUUCUCUGUUAUUUAACCUAAAACAGACUAAAAAAAUCAAUUAUGAUUAUUGUCUUUUGUAAUGUUUUGAAUAUUUACAGGUAAGGAUUUCAUAUAAGACCAAGGAAAUUAGCCUGUUGAAGAUAAUAACAAUUGGGAUCAAAAUGUAGGGUCAGGUCUGCUUCUAGUUUUCAGAAUUUGUAGCAUCAGCUUCUUAAUCUCUAUCAUAGUAAAUUCUCACCCUCCUCCACUAGCUCAUUUGGUGUUUUCUUAUCACAUUCAUGCUUAAAACUCUCUGCAGAAGACCAUAAAAUUUUUUAAAACAAUCUGUUCUCCUUCGGUUUCUACAAAUUCAGAAUCAGUUCUUUUCCUUAAUUCAAAUCUCAGUGUUGUUACUUAAUAACUAGAGAAGCUCCAAAAACUAUUGUUUUAUAAUUUCUCUGAGUCUUAUUUCUUCAGGUUUUAUGUGGAAAUGAAACCAGCAAGCUUUCAGCUCCUGGCUCAUUGUUGGUGACAAACUGAUUUAACUAGUCCUUCCUUUCUGUUUGGAGAUGACAUUGGGCUCACCUCGUCCUACUGCCUUGUGUGAAUCAGACACCCAAGUAAAAACACUCACCUCAGGGAAAAAGCAGAUAGCUGAAAAAAAAAGGAGUGUGUGAUUAAGUGAAGGUAACAUUGCUAGAAAAGAAAAUCUGGUCUGUUCUUUCAAUCCUACAUCUCUCCCUUUGAGGAAUACAACAAAAUGGAGGUGUUGUUUGGUUAUGUCAAACACACUGGGAUCAGAUGUCCUUCAAACAAACUGACUUUGAGAGACACUGUGGUUAUGGUUUGUGUUUUUGUCUUUUUUUUUUUUUUCCCUUGCCUUUCCUUUACUAGAAUCUUCUGCAGGCAUCCCAGGUUGACACAUUUGCAGAAAGAGAUAAGAGACAACCAAACAGAAAAGAAUCAUAACCUGUGUAGUCACUGUGUGGCUACUUGUAAAAUGGUCCUGGAAUCCUAUCUUUAGUUAGUCCCUUGAUAGGGCAGGAGAAACUGUGAUGAGCUUUUAUUUAUGGUGUUAAAUAAAGAACACUGUGUGUCAGAAGGACUCAACUUCCUUAUCUGCUGUUUACAGCUACAGGAAGGGAGAUGUUGGUUUUUCUUCUAAGCUCUGCUUCCAACCUUUUUUUUUCUACCUUCUGAUCCAUAUUGUUUCAUACAGAAAUAUAUAAAAAUUCUGUCUUUCAAACAAAGAACUUGUUCUGUUGUCAAAAGUUAUACCUUCUCUAGUAUUUUUCUGAGACCCUUCUGUGUAGGGACAUCAUUGUGGUUCUAGUAUCAAUAGAGUAAUGCUUUAGUUUUUCCUAUAUAUAUGUAUACCAAGUUUUUCUUCUUCAACUUGGAGUCAUAAUAUUGAAUGAAAACUGAGUCAAAGAUUGAUAUUUUGGGAUCUUCUAGAUGGAGCAUUGAACUAUCUUCAGAAUAUUACAUGAGGAGGUUAGAAUUUGGUAAGAUUAUUAAGUCUAUUUUACUUUUUUGAUUCCUUCUCCUCCACCCUUAUCUUUACCUAUCCAUUCUGUGCCAUUCACUCAACUGUACCAGAAAGCAGUUCCUGAUGAAUUUGAACUAUGGAAUGAAUGAUACUACUAAUAUAUUACCCUAAAAUUUCUUUAAGCCUUGUAAAUGUAUUUACUAUUACUAGUAAUUUACUAGCCUUGUAAAUGUAUUACUAUUAUAUAUAUAUCUUAUUAUUGCCUUGGAGAGUUGCCAGUCAUGUUUGUCAUAAAUACAUCUAACAUAUUAUUUAUUUAAAGUGGAUUCAUAUCUCUACACAUUCUAUUUUAUAAAGGUCUAGCCAAAACUGAGUAAAGAAUGAAACAUAAAAGACAGAUAAAUCUUGGGGUCCUGACAGGUGGAAAGGAUGUUGUGCCUUAAUAAAGCAGUGAAAAUAAAGUGAUUAAUA